AGAGUUUGAUCAUGGCUCAGAUUGAACGCUGGCGGCAGGCCUAACACAUGCAAGUCGAACGGUAACAGGAAGCAGCUUGCUGCUUCGCUGACGAGUGGCGGACGGGUGAGUAAUGUCUGGGAAACUGCCUGAUGGAGGGGGAUAACUACUGGAAACGGUGGCUAAUACCGCAUAACGUCGCAAGACCAAAGAGGGGGACCUUCGGGCCUCUUGCCAUCAGAUGUGCCCAGAUGGGAUUAGCUUGUUGGUGAGGUAACGGCUCACCAAGGCGACGAUCCCUAGCUGGUCUGAGAGGAUGACCAGCCACACUGGAACUGAGACACGGUCCAGACUCCUACGGGAGGCAGCAGUGGGGAAUAUUGCACAAUGGGCGCAAGCCUGAUGCAGCCAUGCCGCGUGUAUGAAGAAGGCCUUCGGGUUGUAAAGUACUUUCAGCGGGGAGGAAGGUGUUGUGGUUAAUAACCGCAGCAAUUGACGUUACCCGCAGAAGAAGCACCGGCUAACUCCGUGCCAGCAGCCGCGGUAAUACGGAGGGUGCAAGCGUUAAUCGGAAUUACUGGGCGUAAAGCGCACGCAGGCGGUCUGUCAAGUCGGAUGUGAAAUCCCCGGGCUCAACCUGGGAACUGCAUUCGAAACUGGCAGGCUUGAGUCUUGUAGAGGGGGGUAGAAUUCCAGGUGUAGCGGUGAAAUGCGUAGAGAUCUGGAGGAAUACCGGUGGCGAAGGCGGCCCCCUGGACAAAGACUGACGCUCAGGUGCGAAAGCGUGGGGAGCAAACAGGAUUAGAUACCCUGGUAGUCCACGCCGUAAACGAUGUCUACUUGGAGGUUGUGCCCUUGAGGCGUGGCUUCCGGAGCUAACGCGUUAAGUAGACCGCCUGGGGAGUACGGCCGCAAGGUUAAAACUCAAAUGAAUUGACGGGGGCCCGCACAAGCGGUGGAGCAUGUGGUUUAAUUCGAUGCAACGCGAAGAACCUUACCUGGUCUUGACAUCCACAGAACUUUCCAGAGAUGGAUUGGUGCCUUCGGGAACUGUGAGACAGGUGCUGCAUGGCUGUCGUCAGCUCGUGUUGUGAAAUGUUGGGUUAAGUCCCGCAACGAGCGCAACCCUUAUCCUUUGUUGCCAGCGGUCCGGCCGGGAACUCAAAGGAGACUGCCAGUGAUAAACUGGAGGAAGGUGGGGAUGACGUCAAGUCAUCAUGGCCCUUACGACCAGGGCUACACACGUGCUACAAUGGCGCAUACAAAGAGAAGCGACCUCGCGAGAGCAAGCGGACCUCAUAAAGUGCGUCGUAGUCCGGAUUGGAGUCUGCAACUCGACUCCAUGAAGUCGGAAUCGCUAGUAAUCGUGGAUCAGAAUGCCACGGUGAAUACGUUCCCGGGCCUUGUACACACCGCCCGUCACACCAUGGGAGUGGGUUGCAAAAGAAGUAGGUAGCUUAACCUUCGGGAGGGCGCUUACCACUUUGUGAUUCAUGACUGGGGUGAAGUCGUAACAAGGUAACCGUAGGGGAACCUGCGGUUGGAUCACCU
rnacentral:rRNA from 7 species